rnacentral:rRNA from 1 species
CAGUAGCCACGGUAAAACGAAGGGUGCAAGCGUUACUCGGAAUUACUGGGCGUAAAGCGUGCGUAGGUGGUGGUUUAAGUCCGUUGUGAAAGCCCUGGGCUCAACCUGGGAAUUGCAGUGGAUACUGGGUCACUAGAGUGUGGUAGAGGAUAGUGGAAUUUCCGGUGUAGCAGUGAAAUGCGUAGAGAUCGGAAGGAACAUCUGUGGCGAAGGCGACUAUCUGGGCCAACACUGACACUGAGGCACGAAAGCGUGGGGAGCAAACAGGAUUAGAUACCCCCGUAGUCCCUGUCUCUUAUAC